rnacentral:rRNA from 1 species
CACGUAGGGUGCGAGCGUUGUCCGGAAUUAUUGGGCGUAAAGAGCUCGUAGGCGGUGUGUCGCGUCGGCCGUGAAAACCUGCAGCUUAACUGUGGGCUUGCGGUCGAUACGGGCAUCACUGGAGUUCGGCAGGGGAGACUGGAAUUCCUGGUGUAGCGGUGAAAUGCGCAGAUAUCAGGAGGAACACCGGUGGCGAAGGCGGGUCUCUGGGCCAGUACUGACGCUGGAGGAGCGGAAAAGCGUGGGGGAGCAAACAGG